UAUUAUUAUUAUUACACUCAACUCAUCUAUAAUAAUUAUAAUUUUUUACAAUGCAUUUGUUUAGAUAUUUUAACGUACUAAUUAAAAUGAAACCAUACAAGAACAGCUAUAGUGAGCUGAUAACCCAGAUUCCAUCGAUCUCUUCAGAGUCCGGAGCCCCGUCAACCAUAGGAAACUUAGGAUCUUGAUGUGGAAAUAUUGUCAUGGCCCAAGAAAACAGAGGUAUUAAUGUUUUAAUAUGUGAUGCGGUUGUUUCCUUAUCCUGACUAUAAGUUUCGCAGCUGUAAAAUAUACAUUGAAUCAUUAAACAAUUAAAAUUUUA